rnacentral:rRNA from 1 species
UACAGAGGGUGCAAGCGUUAAUCGGAAUUAUUGGGCGUAAAGGGUGCGUAGGUGGUUUAAUAAGUUGAAUGUGAAAUCCUCAGGCUUAACUUGAGAAGUGCGUUUAAAACUAUUAAACUAGAGUACUGUAGAGGAAAGUGGAAUUUUCGGUGUAGUAGUGAAAUGCAUAAAUAUCGGAAGGAACACCAGUGGCGAAGGCGGCUUUCUGGGCAUGUACUGACACUGAGGCACGAAAGCGUGGGGAGCAAACAGG